GACCGCUCCGGUGGCCUAGUGGCUAGAGCGCCCGCCUCAGCUGUGGGAGGUCGUGGGUUCGAUCCUCGGCUGAGUCU